GCUCUCUUAGGAAGCCCGUGCAUAGAAUAAAAUUAGAACAAUACAGAGAAGAUGAGCAUGGCCCCUGCACAGGGACGAUGUGCACAUUCAUGAAGCAGUCCACAUUUAA